UACGUAGGGGGCAAGCGUUGUCCGGAAUCAUUGGGCGUAAAGAGCGUGUAGGCGGCCAAGCAGGUCCGCUGUGAAAACUCGAGGCUCAACCUCGAGAGGUCGGUGGAAACCGUUUGGCUAGAGUCCGGAAGAGGAGAGUGGAAUUCCCGGUGUAGCGGUGAAAUGCGCAGAUAUCGGGAAGAACACCCGUGGCGAAGGCGGCUCUCUGGGACGGUACUGACGCUGAGACGCGAAAGCGUGGGGAGCGAACAGG
rnacentral:rRNA from 1 species